UCACCACCUGUAAAAAGAACGUUUGCAGGAAAAAAAUUAAUACACAAUUUUCAUAGCAACAUUUUAAAUAUUUGACUUCCACCUUUGAACUAAAGUGGAUUUCUAACAGGAAUUGUCAUCGUAAACAAGUAUGUUUGUUACUGUACUAAUGAGGUAUAAGAAGUCUGGUUACCUACCUUGUACAGUAACUGGAGUUCUUUGAGAUGUUUGAUCCCUAUGUAUAUUCCACUCAAGAUACACAUGUGUGCCAUGCGCCUGAGACCAGAAGUUUUUUCGCUAGCAGUGUCUGUUUGUCCACGGCUACACCCUUGUCCUCCUCGAGCUCCAAACUGAGGAUUUAAGGGGCGGUCUGGACUGUCUCUCUAAUUCCUUCGCUACUGCAAAUAAGCUUAGGAUAACAAUCCAAAACAGAGGGGAGGGAAGGCAGGGACCACACACCUUGAAGAACUCCAGUUACUGUACAAACACUUUCUUCUUUGAGUGAUGGUCCUUAUAUAUAUUCCACUUGAGGUGACUCACAAGAAAGGUGUGAGGAACCCUGCUGUACUACAGAUUGGAACAGCUCUGCUAUGAAGGAUGCAUCUGCUGUAGAAGCUUGUACCAGGGUAUGCACUGAGCUCUACAGAUCUCCAGAAGAGGGACAUCCUGAAAUGGAGUGGAACCCAGGGCAGAGGGAGGGACUGAGUUCCCCUACAGCCUUACCAGAAAGACUAGAGAGAAGACCCCAAACACAAAGUGACAGAAGGACCAUCAGGCCUGGACCAGGGCUGCCAACUUGGUGAAAACUCUGGCUUCCCCUGAAAUGGGUGAGACUGAAGGUGACCCAGCCUGAGAACUGAGUCAAAUGGCAAAAGAGGAAGUUACUUACAUGUAAAUGGAGGUUCUUUGAGAUGGGUGGUCCCCAUCUAUAUACCACAGUGGGUUAUGCACAUGCACCAUGCGCCCAGAGUUGGAGAGUUUAAAAGUAGUGUCUGGCCCAUGCAUGCGCCCUGGCUUGCCUCAUGCCUCCGACCAAGGAAAUAAAGGGCGAGGCAGACCGACCACCUCUUCAGUUCCUUCUCCAGUUCGAAUCAGACAAGAUUCAAAGCAGAGGGCAAGGAGAGCAGGUAGUGGAAUACAAAUAGGGACCACACAUCUUGAAGAACCUCCAGUUACAAGUAAGUAACCUCCUCUUCUUCUUUGAGUAAUGGUCUCUAUUGUAUCCCACUGUGGGUAACUGACAAGCAGUAAAUAAGUAGGAGGAGGGCUCGAGGAUGUGGACAGCAGGGUUGAACAGAGAACCAUCAAUCCAAAGGAGGCAGCAGCAGCUGAGUCCUGUACUAGGACUUGCAAACAUGUGGCUGGAGCUCCACAUGGCUCCAGGAGGGAUAACUCCUGAAGAGACACUACAUUUGUUGCUUGAGCUCUAGUGGAGUGAGCUCAUAUCUCUGUGGGGGGAGGGAGGUUUAAGAGCUGACAGAGUAGAAUGUAACCAGAUAUCCAUUUGGAAAUUCUCUGGGUGGAGAUGGCAUGCCCACUGAUUCUCUCUGCUAGAGUGACUGACAAAGUCUCAGGGACUUCCUGACUGGUUUUGAUCUCUGUUGGUAAAAGGCCAAGGCUCGAACAUCGAGAGAGUGGAGUCUACAUUUUUCUGCAGAUGUGUGCAAUAUGGGGAAGAAUAAAGGUAAGUGAAUAGAUUGGUUAAGGUGAAAUUCCAAAACCACUUUAGGGAUAAAUUUGGGGUAUAGGUGUAAAGAAACUAUCUUCGUGGAACAGUGUAUGGAGGGUCUGCCAUCAUUGCUCUGAGUUCACUAACCCUCCUCGCCAAUGUGAUGGCUCCAAGGAAGGUGACCUUCAUGGAGAAGAGAAACAUGGGGGCAAGUAGCUAAUGGGGAGCCUGGUCAGUACCAAAAGAACAAGAUUCAUGUCCCAUUGGGGCACAAUCUUUUGAGGAGUGGGAAAGUUCUUAUCCGGUCUUUCCAGAGUCAACUGGCUAGCGAGUGUGCAAAAAUAGAGUAGCCUUCAGAAGGUGGAAGGAAUGCACCGAUCGCCACUAGGCAGACUUGCAAGGAGCAGAGGGAGAGACCGGAUGUCUUCAAAAGAUAGGAUCUAGUCUAGAAUGAGUGGAAUAUCCAUAGCUUCUGGUAGAAUGCCUCUUUGUUGUGUCCAGGACCAGAAGCAUUUCCAUUUAGCUAGGUAAUCCUUUCUGCUAUUGGAGAAGACGUCUCACAUGGCUGAAGAGCAUGUACGUUCUAGCUAUGAUGGCCAUCCAAAUACCAUGCCCUGAGGUGGAGUGGUUGUGGAUUAGGGUGUUUAAUCCUCCCAUUGCACUGGGUUAGGAGCUCGGGGAACUAAAACUGUCAGGGCCAAAAAGGGGUGAUCAAGAUGACUGUCACCCUGUUCCGCUGGAACUUGCGUAGCACUCAUGGCAGAAGCGGCCGCGUAGGGAAGUAUAGUUGAACUGGUCUGACCAGGAAAGGAGAGCAUCACCUUGGAAGUUGCAGCCUAUGGCUCCUCUGGAGCAACAAGUGAUGCACUUCUUGUUGGCCUGGCAAGUGAAUAGAUCUCUUGUUGGGGUUCCCCAACACGUGAAAAUGUCAUGCACCACCAUGUCGUGAAGUUCCCACUUGUGGUCAAUUGCAAAACAUUUGCUGAGGGAAUCUGAGAGUGCAUUCUGUGUCCCUGGAAGGUAGGCUGCAGACAGGGUGAUUUGAUUGUUGAUGCACCAGUUCCAGAGAUUGCCUGCUUCUGCACACAGGGAGGCAGAUCUCACUCCCUUGCUUGCUGGUAUAAAAGCCCAUCAUAAUGUUGUCUGACAUCAGGAUGUGGUGAAAGCGAACAAAUGGAAGAAAGGAUUUGCAUACCUUCCUUACUGCCCAUAAUUCCAGGACACUGAUGUGCAUUCUGUACUCUCAAAAUGUCCAGGCUCCUUGUGCUGUGUGGUUGCCCAUAUAGGCUCCCCAACAUAGCAGGGAAACAUCCAUAAUGAUUGUCUUGGCCAGUGAAGAGGGGAGAAAGAGAGCACCCAUGCAUGUGAGAUGAGGAUUUGUCCAUCACAAGGAAGGACAGCGGGAAUCUUGGCAGGAACUGUCAGUGUGAGAUUCAUGCAAUGACAGCCGAGGGAGUGAACUGAAUGUAGUCAUACUCAAAGGUGGAGUCUUGCAAAGUGACAUUUGUGUACAAAGCCAUGUGGCCGAGUAGGGACAGACAUGUUUUGACUGUUACCCAAGGGUUGCUCACAAUGUGAUCUAUGAUAUCUUUCAUGGUCUAGAAACUGUGAGCAAGUUCGCCCCUGUGGUGACAGAGUUCAAGGUUGCCCCAAUGAAGUCCAAAGAUUUCAUGGGAGUAAAACCAGAUUUUUUAACAUUUACACUGACUCCCCAGGGAGGAAAAGAGGUGGAGCAUCAUACACGUCAAUGUAGGGUUUCUGGCGAGAUUUGGUGGUGAGGAGCCAGUCGUCAAGGUAUGGGAAAGUGAGGAGGCCAUGACAUCUGACGUGAGCUGCUACCACUGAAAAUACCUUGGUAAAGACUAUGGAGGUGGUAGCUAUUCUGAAGGAUAGUACUGGAAAUGAUCAGAGCCCACCAUAAAUCUGAGAAAUUGUCUGUGGGCAGAAGCCAUGACCACAUGCCAUUUUUUCUAAAAAUGGAAUUAUUGCUGCCUACAUGGCUGAAAUUUGAGUUUGUGAAUGAAGUGGUUGAGGUGGCGGAGGUUAAGGAUUGGUCUCCACCCAGCCUUCUUCUUGGAUAUGAGGAAACAGGUCAAGUAAAACCUGUAACCUAAUACUGUGGAGGAAAAUGCUCUAUUGAACUCCUUAUAGCAGCAAGGAGCACCUCCUGAGCGAGAAUACUGUCAUGAGAGUGGUCCCCAAAGAGGAUUGGGGAAGGGCAGUUUCGGAUGAAGUAGUGUUGCAAACUCAGUUGUAUAGCCAGCACCCACGUGUCCAUCAUUAUCACACUCCAGGUGCUGAAAAAGAGUGCUAGGCGAUCCCCGGAGUACUGGAGUCAGGUGGUGUUGGGCUCAGUGAAUCACAGUUCUCAAGCUCGCAUCAAAAAUAUUACUGGGUUUGGGGGGUUGGAUUGGGAUGUUGAGGCCAAUGUGGAAGGAACAUGGAAGCAGGACUUUUCAGUCUUCUGCCUUUUAUGCAGUGGUUUGUAGGGUCUCUGAUGGUAGAAGCGUUGAGCUCUAUACCUUGAUGGGGCUGACUGGUGAUGUAACUUCCUCUUAAGGGAAGGUGUGUAUGCACCCAGUGAUCAAAGGGUAGCCCUAGAGUCCUUUAGGGUGUAUAGGGACUCAUCCGUGUACUGAUUGAAAAGGUGAGAUUCAUUGAAGGGGAGGUCCCCAAUGGUAUUCUGGACCUCCCAGCAGAACGCUGAGGCACAGAGCUAGGACUCCCUUUGCAUAACAAUGGUGGUAGCCAUGCUCUGAGGAAGUAUCGGCUGCCUUGAGUGCAGAUUGGAGGGUGAUUCUGGCUAUUAAUUUUUUCCUUCCUCCAUUAGAGCUUGGAAAUGAGAAUGAUCCUGCUGUGGGAGGCUGUUGGCAAAUUCCUCAAACUUAGCAUUGUUCAGGAAAUCAUAUUUAGCCAAUAGUGCUUGAUAGUUGGCUAUCGUGAACCGAAAAUUGGAGGACAAGAAAACCUUCCUCCCCAAUAGUUUUACAUGUUUAUCCUCCUCGCCUGCAGGAGUAGAUCUGGGGUGGUGUUGCCUGGACCUUUCUGAAGUGGCCUGAACCACCACUGAGUUGGGAGCUGGAUGAGAAAAUAAGAAUUCUGACCUCUCUCUCACAUUGUUCUAGUGAGCUCCAAUAUGGCCUCAUUUACAGGGAGGGCUAUUCUUAUAGGUCUAGAGGUGUGGAGGAUGUCCAAGAGCUUGUGCUGGACUCCUGGACUCCUCUAUUGGAAUCUGAAGUUUCCUGGCAACUCUGCGGAGGUGGUCUUGGAACUGCCUGAAGUCACUGGGGGGGAAGGGGGAGAUGCCAAAGUCACCACAUCAGCUGAAAAUGAUGAUUGUAGUCCGGCCAGUUCCAGUGGAACCGCUGGAACCGGAGCGUAGUACUCCUGCUUUUCAACUGGAUCUGGGGGUAAAUGUGAUCCUUCCUUGAAGGGAAGGCAGGUAGCAACUCCCUGGUGGAUCAGAUAGAUUCUGAAGGUUGUUACUCAUCCCAUGAUCCCCAAUAUGGUCAGUAGGAGGGGUUGACAGGUAGUUGUGGGGGUCCCAAUGGCAUGGGAUACCAGUGACUCCAAGUUGGGUGAGGCAGUGGUUGGUCCCACGGCUGUGCAGAUCUCCUGGGAAAUGGGUAAGGAUGGUAUGGGAGGAGCAAUUCCUCUAAUGAUUCCGAAUCUCCUGAGGAAAAGGCUGACUUGGGUUCCAGUGGUGGUACUGCCAGUGCCAUUGGAGAGGUGUACAUUGUGUACGGAGAGGAGGGAAUGGGGUAACAGGCUCCGCCCUGUAGGCAACUCCCUGAAAACAGAGGUUCCCAAUGAAGGAGGGGAUUCUGGAUCCAGGCGGGCAAAAAUGUCCUGUGUGACCAUGGAUCCAUAUCUCCCAGGUGUCAGGACUCUUUCUGUCCAGGCUACUGGUGCCAGCAAUGCUGACUGCAUCCAAAGGUAAUCAGACUUUGCUGGUGCAGGAGGGUCCCAGGUCUUGUGAGGAGCUGGGGGAUGGUGGUACCAAUGGAGCACAGUCCAGAGCUGGCAGAGCUCAAUGUUUCGGAGCUUUCUUCUUGUGCCUAUGGGACCAAGGACAUACUAAGUCCUCAUAGGCUGAAUGGGUGGAUUUGCUUGCAGGCAUGUCUGAUUUCUUUGAAGCGGACUUAGAGGAAGACUUAGUCCCAUGCUUAUGGGAAUGCUUCCUGACUAGGCCCUGUGGUGUGGUGGAUUCUCUGGCACUGAAGUCAGACUCAGCAGCAGGAGGCACAUUCCUUGCUGAUUCAGGCCAAUGUACAGAACAGAUUUUGAUCAGAUUGCAGCCAUGAUCUCCAUGAGAUACUUGCAGAGACAAAGUGCCUGUCCUUCUAGGGUAUGGCUGGGAGACGACUGGCAAAUACUACACCAAGCCAUGAGGUGAGUUUCUUCCAGGCAGUAGAGGCAGUGCUGAUGGUCGUCGCUGACUGAGAAGGAUCAUGGGCAAGAGGCACAGAGUCUGAAGCCUGGAGUUCUAGGCAUAGUCUGAUACUCAAGUGGAGUACGGGAUGGUGGUAGGUUCCCCUGUAGCCUAAUCUGUGAAAGAUACUAAAAACUACUAAAUCUAUAAAAGUUAUUAAAAACUAUUAAAACUAUUAACUAUUUAAUUUAUAUUGUUUUUCAGAACGACGUCAAAGCUGAGGACACUAAAGGUUUUGAUCUGGACCAUGCAGCUGUGAAAAGGAGACCUGAAGAGGUGGUUGGUUCACCCUGCCCUUUAUUGCCAUGGUCGAAGGCACAAGGCAAGCAAGGACACAUGUGCGGACAAACAGACACUACUUUCAAAUUCUCUGACUCCAGGCACAUGGUGCACACAUGUAACCCCGAGGUGGAAAACAACAGGGACCAUCGCUCAAGGAAGAAGGGGACCAUAGGCAGACCAGGUCAGCAGGACUAAAGAGAAAAAACACUGCACGUAGCCACAAGGCAGCAGAGCAGUUGGCAAGUAAUUUUUCCACGAGGGGGAGGGAGAGGACGAGGAUGAGAGGGUCCUGACAGGCUGGGGUCAGACUACGAACUCAUCGAACAAUCCAUCAGGAAUCUCCUAAAACUGCACUCUUGUGGAUUGAUAGUCUUGGUGAGAGGAGGGACAGAUAUUACACUUGGAGGGGGUAUGAGCUUUCCUGGGGCAAAACAAGCAAGCAUCAUGGUCGUUGCUUACCAGGAAGACCCGGGAGCAGACCACGCGGAUCUUGAAUUCUGAGGUCUUGGGCAUACUAGGCAUCCCAUACAGCGGUUAGGGGGCACCUCAGGCCCCUGGACCCUAAAACUAACUCUACACUUUUAAACUUAUCUAAGAACAGGUAAAACUAUUUACAUUAGACAAAGAAUGCUCAAUAAAGCUGUGGACACUGAAGGGUUAGGAUUCAGACUAUGGGUGGUAGAAAGGUACUGGACUAGUGGUCAUUCCACACAUCCCCUAACAACCUCGGAGCACAAGGAGGAAAAAGGUGCAGGCAUGGACCAACAGACACCACUAGCGAAAAAUCUGGUCUCAGGCACAUAAACCACAUGUACACAUUGAGUGGACUACACAUAGAGACCAUCACUUGAAGAAGAACCAAAAGGAUUCUUGUCCCAAACAAUCAGCGAUCAGGCAUGUUGCUGCAUCAUAGAAAUUACUAUUUCCAGACUAACACUUGUUACUCAGCUGUGAAGGUUAAAAAGUGCUACUCCAAACAUGAACAGUUACAGACAUUUAAAAGAAUAGUGUGAAAGUCAUCAUCUAAGGAUAAAGUGACUCCAAAGCAGCAUCCCUGGAGGUGGGAAUGAGUUCACGGACGUACAGAUUGCUACAUAGCUCUGCCGAGUCCAGAGUUGUUCCUGGCCUGCUGUGUGAUGGCAUAAUGAGCCAUAAACGUGUGGACAGAGGACCAUGUUGUGGCUCUACAGAUAUCCUGGAUAGGGUUGUGUGACAGAAGGCCGCCGAAAACACCUGAGCUCUCAUCGAGUGGGUUCUGACAAUCGGUGGCAGCGGAACCCCUGCCAGGUCAUAACUGGUCAUUAUGCACGAGGUAAUCCAAUUGGAAAUCCUCUGCGAGGACACUGGAUGAAGCUUCAUCCUAUCUGCUGUAGCGAUGAAGAGGUAAGUCAAUUUACGGAAAGGCUUGGUAUGUUCCAAGUAAAAAGCCAAAGCCCUCCAGACAUCCAGGGCAUGAAGACAUCUCUCUUCACUGGUCUUGUGCAGUUUGGGACAAAACACUGGGAGGAAGAUGUCCUGGUUCAUAUAGAAGGUGGAGACCACCUUUGACAGGAAGACCAGGCGGGGCUGCAACUGAACCUUAUCUUUGUAGAAGACCGUGUAUGGCGUUUCUGAGGUCAAGGCCUUAAUUUCUGAGACCCGUCUUGCCGAUGUCACUGCCACCAGGAAUACAACCUUCCUUGACAGAUGGGAAAGGGAGCAGGACCCCAGCAGUUCAAAGGGUGGAGGACCAAGUUAAGAUCCCACUGUGCGACAGGAGCCCGCACCUGCAGGAAGAGUCUCUCCAGCCCUCUCAAGAAUCUGACCGUCAUGUCAUGAGAACACAGUCUGUCCUUGGAUCGGUGGGUGAAAAGUGGAGAUGGCCGCGAGAUGCAUUCUAAUGGAAGAGUGUGCUAGACUCUGGUUCCUUAAAUGGAACAGAUAGUCCAGGACAGCCUGUAUGGAAGAACGCGAUGGAGAGAUGCCCCAUUCAAACACCCAUAAGGAAAACCUUGUCCACUUGGCCAGGGUAAGUCAGUCUAGUUGAGGGCUUCCUACUUUUCAGGAGGACCUGUUGGACUUCUUCGAACAAGUCCACUCCUCUGGGUUCAGCCAUGCAGCAUCCAUACCAAAAGGCAGAGGGACCCGAGGUUGGGGUGUAAGAGCCGACCGUAGUCCAGUGACAGCAGGUCCAGUCGGUUGGGCAGGGGCCAAGGAGGAGCCGUUGACAGGCUCAUGAGCGUGCCGAACCAAUGCUGGUGAGUCCACAACAGGGCAAUCAUGAAAACCUAUGCCUGGUCUCUCUUGAUCUUUUCCAGGGUCCUGCUGAUGAGUGGAAUCGGAGGGAAUGCGUACAUCAGGCUCCCUGACCAUGACAGGAGGAAAGCAUCGGAGAGGGAGUCUUUUUGUUCAGACCCUGUCAAGAACAAAACCGGUGGCAUUUCCUGUUCUGUCUGGUAGCGAACAGGUCCACUUGGGGAGUGCCCCACCUUUGGGGGAUCAUGCAGGCUACCUCUGUAUGCAGCGACCACUCGUGGUGAGAGGAGAAGUCUCUGCUGAGCUGGUCUGCCAGCUUAUUCCUGAUGCCAGGAAGGUGACAAGCUUCCAGAUGCAUUUUGUGGCUGAUGGAGAAGUCUCAGAGUGCCAAUGAGAGCGCUCCCCCUUGCCUGUUGAUGUAGAACAUCGAGGCUGUGUUGUCCGUCAGGACUCGUACCACCUUGCCCGACAGGUGGGCCAAGAAGACUCUGCAUGCCAGCUGGACUGCUCGGAGCUCUUUGAUGUUUAUGUGUAACGCACCUCCUCCAGAGACCACCUCCCCUGUGUCUGGAGGUUGCGAGAUGUGCCCCCCCAGCCAAGAUCAGAGGCAUCCGACACCAACUCAAUGGAGUGAGGAGGGUGGUCGAACGGAACCCCUUUCAGGACUGUCCCGCAGUCGGUCCACCAUCUCAAAGUAGGGCCGCAUCUGGAGCCUGGCAUAGAGGACCACAGAAGUGCACACUGCCAUGUGACCCAGCAAGCACAGACAGACCCUGGCUGUAGUCAAAGGGAAUGCGGAGACUUCUGCAAUGAGGUUCGUCGAUGCAUGGAACCCUUCCAGCAGCAGGAACGCUCUGGCGCAGUAGGCCCAGAGAGCGGCACGUGGCUUGAAACACCGCGACAUCCCUUCGGACUUGAGGCCUGGAGCAGCCCUUGACGAGCCAGUCGUCGAGGAUGGGUAGAUCUGGAUAAGCCGGCACCUGAGGGCCCCGCCGUCGAAGGGCAGGUCCCCCAAUGACUGCUGGGCCUCGGUGGACAACCCAGAAAGAAGCAGCCAAGAGACUCACCACAUGGAGAUAGCGGAAGCCAUGCUACAGGAAGCAGCAUCAGCAGCAUCCAACGCCACC